GUUAUGUCACCGUUAUUUACACUGUCCACCUUAUUAACAUUCGCAGCGUAGUACCGAAAGUCGACACACUUAACGAACAUAAACUUCUAUACGAAACGAACAAAAAGCUUGGAAUCGAAAAAACUUCUCUUGAAGGUCCAAGUUCUAAUUACCUGCAGAUAAGUAUCAGCCGGCCGUCCGCAAAUGGCGUGCUCCUGCAGCGACGUCUGAGAGCUCGUCAGUCAAACACGUCAGCUAUGCCCGGAUGUUAUCGUGCCAGCGUAAUAACCUUUGUGUCACGCUUACCGGUAACUAUGAUGCUCUCGAAACGUCGAAGGAAGAGAAACGCGAUACCGAUGCAUCGAUACCUUCCUCUUGCAACGAUUCAAGCGUUAUCGCACGCUGGGGAACAGUUUUCCUUGUCGUAG
rnacentral:misc_RNA from 1 species